CGGNUCGNUGCAGAUUAUAGGAGCUUGCUCCUGAUUGAUAAACAUUUGAGUGAGUGGCGGACGGGUGAGUAACACGUGGGUAACCUGCCCUAAAGUGGGGGAUAACAUUUGGAAACAGGUGCUAAUACCGCAUAAAACCUAACACCGCAUGGUGUAGGGUUGAAAGAUGGUUUCGGCUAUCACUUUAGGAUGGACCCGCGGUGCAUUAGUUAGUUGGUGAGGUAAAGGCUCACCAAGACCGUGAUGCAUAGCCGACCUGAGAGGGUAAUCGGCCACACUGGGACUGAGACACGGCCCAGACUCCUACGGGAGGCAGCAGUAGGGAAUCUUCCACAAUGGACGAAAGUCUGAUGGAGCAACGCCGCGUGAGUGAAGAAGGUUUUCGGAUCGUAAAACUCUGUUGUUGGAGAAGAAUGUAUCUGAUAGUAACUGAUCAGGUAGUGACGGUAUCCAACCAGAAAGCCACGGCUAACUACGUGCCAGCAGCCGCGGUAAUACGUAGGUGGCAAGCGUUGUCCGGAUUUAUUGGGCGUAAAGCGAGCGCAGGCGGUUUCUUAAGUCUGAUGUGAAAGCCUUCGGCUCACCCGAAGAAGUGCAUCGGAAACUGGGAAACUUGAGUGCAGAAGAGGACAGUGGAACUCCAUGUGUAGCGGUGAAUGCAUAUAUAGAAAGG
rnacentral:rRNA from 1 species